rnacentral:rRNA from 1 species
UGAAUACGAGAUGCUACGGCGUCGAAGCAGUCUAUGUCAUACUUCCAAGAAAAGCUCGCACUGUCAUAAACAAAUAAUGCCUGUACCAUAACCGACACAGGUGGGUAGGUAGAGUAUACUAAGGGGCGCGAGAUAACUCUCUCUAAGGAACUCGGCAAAAUGACUCCGUAACUUCGGGAGAAGGAGUGCCUUAUUUAUAAGGUUGCAAUAACAAGAUCCAAGCAACUGUUUAUCAAAAACACAGGUCUCCGCUAAGUCGUAAGACGAUGUAUGGGGGCUGACGCCUGCCCAGUGCCAGAAGGUUAAAGAAGUUGGUUAGCAUUCGCGAAGCUGAUAACUGAAGCCCUGGUGAACGGCGGCCGUAACUAUAACGGUCCUAAGGUAGCGAAAUUCCUUGUCGGGUAAGUUCCGACCCGCACGAAAGGCGUAAUGAUUUGGAUACUGUCUCGGAGAGGGGCUCGGUGAAAUAGACUUGUCUGUGAAGAUGCGGACUACCUGCACCAGGACAGAAGGACCCUAUGAAGCUUUACUGUAACUUGAGAUUGAAAUUGGACUUUACUUGCGCAGUAUAGGUGGGAGGCGUUGAUAAUAUUCUUGCGGGAUUAUUUGAGCCAUCAGUGAGAUACCACUCUUGUAAUGUUAGAUUUCUAACUUUGUAUCAUUAUCUGGUCAAAGGACAGUUUCAGGCGGGCAGUUUGACUGGGGCGGUCGCCUCCUAAACGGUAACGGAGGCGCACAAAGGUUUCCUCUGAACGGGUAGAAAUCGUAUCUAGAGUGUAAAGGCAUAAGGAAGCUUGACUGUGAGACCUACAAGUCGAGCAGGGACGAAAGUCGGUCUUAGUGAUCUGACGGUGCUGAGUGGAAAGGCCGUCACUCAACGGAUAAAGUUACUCUAAGGAUAACAGGCUGAUCUCCCCCAAGAGUUCACAUCGACGGGGAGGUUUGGCACCUCGAUGUCGGCUCAUCGCAUCCUGGGGCGGUAGUACGUCCCAAGGGUUGGGCUGUUCGCCCAUGAAAGCGGUACGCGAGCUGGGUUCAGAACGUCGUGAGACAGUUCGGUCCAUAUCCGGUGUAGGCGUUAGAAUAUUGAGAGGAGCCUUCUUUAGUACGAGAGGACCGAGAAGGACAUACCUCUGGUGUACCAGUUAUCGUGCCAACGGUAAACGCUGGGUAGCUAUGUAUGGAGUGGAUAACCGCUGAAAGCAUCUAAGUGGGAAGCCCACCUCAAGAUAAGUAUUCUCA